rnacentral:rRNA from 1 species
AACGAACGCUGGCGGCAUGCCUAACACAUGCAAGUCGAACGAGACCUUCGGGUCUAGUGGCGCACGGGUGCGUAACGCGUGGGAACCUGCCCUUAGGUUCGGAAUAACUCCCCGAAAGGGGUGCUAAUACCGGAUAAUGUCUUCGGACCAAAGAUUUAUCGCCUUUGGAUGGGCCCGCGUUGGAUUAGCUAGUUGGUAGGGUAAAAGCCUACCAAGGCGACGAUCCAUAGCUGGUCUGAGAGGAUGAUCAGCCACACUGGGACUGAGACACGGCCCAGACUCCUACGGGACGCAGCAGUGGAGAAUAUUGUACAAUGGGCGAAAGCGUGGUCCAGCAGUGCCGCGGGAGUGAUGAAGGCCUUAGGGUUGUAAAGCUCUUUUACCCGAGAUGAUAAUGACAGUACCGGGAGUAUAAGCUCCGGCUAACUCCGUG